rnacentral:rRNA from 1 species
AAUCAACGCUGGCGGCGUGCCUCAGACAUGCAAGUCGAACGAUUAAAGCUCUCUUCGGAGAGUGUAUAGAGUGGCGCACGGGUGAGUAACACGUAAGUAAUCUACCUUUGAGUGGGGAAUAACCCGGGGAACCCGAGCUAAUACCGCAUAAUGCAGCGGCAUCGCAAGAUGACAGUUGUUAAAGGAGCAAUCCGCUUAAAGAGGAGCCUGCGGCAGAUUAGCUAGUUGGUAAGGUAAUGGCUUACCAAGGCUACGAUCUGUAACCGGCCUGAGAGGGCGGACGGUCACACUGACACUGAAUAACGGGUCAGACUCCUACGGAGGCAGCAGUCGGGAAUUUUGGGCAAUGGGCGAAAGCCUGACCCAGCAACGCCGC